UACGAAUGGAGCGAGCGUUGUUCGGAAUCACUGGGCGUAAAGCGUGCGCAGGUGGUCGUGAAAGUUAGAAGUGAAAGCCCAGGGCUUAACCCUGGAAUUGCUUUUAAAACUCCACGACUAGAGUACUGGAGGGGUUGGCGGAAUUUCGAGUGUAGCAGUGAAAUGCGUAGAUAUUCGAAGGAACACCGAUGGCGUAGGCAGCCAACUGGACAGUAACUGACACUCAUGCACGAAAGUAUGGGGAGCAAACAGG
rnacentral:rRNA from 1 species